rnacentral:lncRNA from 1 species
AUCACAUAGCGUUCAUUUCCCUAAGGGAGGAGAAAAAAUUAAAUUUGUAAGCUUAAGAUUCCAGCUGAAGUACUCAAGAAUCCUGUUUCUCUGACAGAGGAAAGGAACAACAACUUGACUGGACACAUCCUAACCCAACCAUACGCUGUGUUACUUCCUCCACUGCGCCACACACAGCUAUUAUUCUAAGCUCUCUUAUUCAAACCCUUAAGGAUUUGUAAGAACUUGGAAAGAGAAAGUGACUUCAGACAGUUGCUGUGAGUAGUAAUUAAUUCCAGUGAUCAGUGUGAGCUUGCGUAUGGGCAUUUAUGAAAUGAUGUUAGAUUAUGAAAUGCCAAGUGCCCCUCCUAUUCUAGAUGUGAAUUUAGUGAGUGCUGUUGUACAGGAGAAAGGGGCUAAUACAGACCUUUCUUUUUGGGCCAAGGGUGGCUGCUCUGCACCAAAGUUGCUAUUUUUUUAGUUGUUGUUUAGCAAGUCCUACUGUUAAAAACUCAGUCAAUGGCAGCCAGGCCGGUGUAGCAUUGUUGGCAUUGAGUUAGAUCCAAGCACCAAUUGAAUCUCUUGGUUCUCUGAUUGAAGACUAGAUAUGCCUAUCACAUACUGCUCCCAAUCACAUACACACAACCCUCAAUGUACAACAACCUAUUAUUAAAAAAGUGUUAGAAAAUGAUCAUUUACAUAACUCAAAUAUCCUACAGUAUAUUGGCUAAAUGAUUGUAUAGCUAUUCAGUAGAAUGUUAUUUAGCCAUUAACAGACAUGUUAUAGGAACAUAAUUGAUGACUUGGUCAAAUAUACAUUACGUAUUGUUAAAUUAAGAGUAGGUUAAGGCUGGGUAUAGUGGCUCACGCCUGUAAUCCCAGCACUUUGGGAGACUGAGGCAGGUGGAUCAUGAGGUCAGGAAAUUGAGGCCAUCCUGGCCAACAUGGUGAAAUCCCGUC